GCCGAGUAAAAUAUCAAAUUAUGUAAAAAGAGUUUACCCGUCUAAUACAAGUCUACAGAGGAAUUGGUGGUAAGAAAUAUCAGUGUUUCACUGUGCUUGAGUCUUUGCAUUUAAUUAAUGAUAAAUAUCUUUACAUUUCAGAAUCUUGUGGAAGCAAUGGAUUUAAUUUUAAAUGCCCUAAGAGCAUUGCCGAUUUGGUAAAUAAUGAAUUGCCAGGUGCACCGCUUCAACCAGACCCAGAGGAAAACCCAGAAAAUGUCCCAGAAUGUUGCGAAUGUGGAUGCUGUGUUGCAAUACCAACACAAUUGGGUCAAUUGGAAAACAAAUGCUGUACACAAACAAGACAGCCUUGCAUGACCCUAGCCCCUCUGUUCCCCACAGUUAGUACUUGAUGGAAACGUUCUGGACCUGGCCAUGCAUUACAGGGCUGGGAAGACUUUUUAGUGUUAAAUAAUGUUAGAAACAAUGAAAAUUUUCACAUGCUGCUUACAAACAAUAUGUACUCUGGCAACAUGAAAAGAUUAGGAAGUGGGAACAGGAUAAUGAUUCCAAGCUGUUGUGUUACAGCAAUACAGAGACAAUUUCCUUCUGCAAGAUUGUAAAUAUUUGUUGCACAUGUUUUUAUUAUUAUUAUGUUAUUGAUCAUUGAGGAAAACUUUAUUAUUCAUUAACCUAUUUUACUGCAAUUAUCUUCCCAUGACAGGGAGGGUCAUUUUAAAUAUUUUGAAAGAACUUGGGUAAUUCACACUUGUUAAAGCCUGUUCACACAAGCGAUUUUAAACUGUGAUUUUCUCCUUUCGGCAUACAGUAUGUGAUUUAAUUAGCAAAAUUACAGGAAAUAUUACUUUGCAUGGCUUAGCUCAUACAUUUGUUGUGAUUAUUCACUCUAACACAUACACCAAAAGAAGAAAAUUGCAGUUCAAAAUUGCUUGUGUGAACUAGCCUUUAUAGGUUAUGUUGCGAUGUGCCCCAUUGCUUCAAAUUUAUUUUAAGCUUUCUCUGUCUACUAACCACAUCAAAUUCUGCUAACAUAUGAAAGCCUUUAUCAUUUUAAUGGGUUAAAUCUUUAUGGACAGUAAUAUUUCAUUUUAUAAAAGACAAGUUAUCAAAUGCAUUGGAUGUUCCAGUACAACAUUUGGUACUGACAUUGAUAUUUUUAUUCUUCAAAAUUACUCCUGGCUUCUUACUUCAGUUCUGAAAAGUGUAUGGCUGUUUCGCUCUACAUUAGAGCUCAUCAGCAUGCCUGGGAAACACCGAAGAUUAAUGAAUCCAACAUGGACAGCCUGACCCACUAGUUGGGUCCGGAGUUUGAAAUCAGAAUUUUCCUUCUCCUAGGUGGACUAUCUUUCAGGGAUUAUGCGCUCCACCUAUAUAUACCCAC